CAGGCAGAACUACCCUUGUCCGUAUCCUAUUUAGCUGGAGUUGUGGAGCGAGUUUUCUGCUUAACCUGUCAUUUUGCAAGUUCGUGCCUUGCUCAUUGUUCUAAAUUAACAACUGUAAAAGAUUUGAAAGGUGUAGGUUUUCCAAGUGAAAAGCAUGGGCUUUAUCUAUGUAGCAUGCCUUGAGGAAGUUCGAGUUUAUGGGCACAAACGACAUAUGAAUACUUCCUUGACGUUCACAGAGUGAAAGAGGAAUUGAAUCAGCGGCUGAAGAAAUAAGAAAUGACAAAGCACUUAAAGAAGGGAUAUUCACCAAGGUUAUAGGCAAUGAUACCGACGGUCGAGUACACCCUAGUUGGGGUUGGAGUAAGCCCAAAAGACUGGGCUAAAAAAAAAGCGCCGUAAUACAAAGUUGCAGUGUCAAGUAGCAGGAUUGAAGCAAGAAAUGGCAAAAGAAAGAAGAUGAAGGAAGAUUUGGCAGAAGAAAGAAACCAGAUGAAGCAAGAGAUGGAAGAAGAAAAGAAAAAGAAUGCAGAGGCUCUUUCCAGUAUGUAAUCACAACUAAAAAACCUUGCAAACUCAUGAUGAAUAGAAGCUCACAGGAUUCAAAUAUUUUCGGUUAAUAAGGCAAUUGCAGAGGCUGGCUAGUAGUCUUCUAACCUCAUACAGUUGCUAUGUUAUAGCAUGCUGAUGGGAGUGGAGGCUGGUAGCAGCAAACAGGAGCAGAAAGGCUUCUUCUUUGGUGCGUGGUUUUAACAGAUGACAAAGCAGGUGGGUGGCUGAACCUGGGAAGUUUCCCUUUGUAAGGGAUGACAGAGGGAGGUUUGAGUAGCAAGACUUGCUUAGAGCCUCAUCUGAAGUCUUGGGCAAUGGAUCUUUUUGGGUCUUCUUGUAAGGAUGUUCUGACUACUGGGAAAGCCAUGGUUGAGAAGAGGUUCAGGCAUAAGAACAAAGUGGACAGGGAAGAUUUUCAAGAGCAAAUGAGAGAAGGCUUGGGAGAUUUAGAAAAACUUGGGCUCUGGUCCCUUGAUACUGUCAGUAAUGGGGGAAAGUAAACUGCUCAGAGCUGGAUGAUGGAUUUGAUCCCAAGCAACUUCUAUUGGUGGUUAUCAUGAGUUUAAUCUGUGUCCCACCACGACGGCGGAGAGUGGUCACUGUAGAUCACCUGUCUUGAUAGAUGCCUCCUUUUCCAUCUUCAUUUCUUUUUUCUUUAUUUUCAUAGUCAAAAGCUUUUAGAAGAACCUCUUAUCCCAGCCAUUCACCUCCAAGGCCCAACACUCUCUUCUUUUUUCUCCGAGACUCAUUACAAGUUGAGAGAGAAGCUUCUGUGCCAUGGCACUUUGUUUAAAAACAAUGGAAAUCUUAUUUCCUCUAUCAGAGGUAGCAAAUUUGAAUUUUGUUGUAUCA